UACAGAGGGGGCAAGCGUUGUUCGGAAUUACUGGGCGUAAAGGGCGCGUAGGCGGCCUGCUAAGUCGAACGUGAAAUCCCCGGGCUCAACCCGGGAACUGCGUCCGAUACUGGCAGGCUUGAAUUCGGGAGAGGGAUGCGGAAUUCCAGGUGUAGCGGUGAAAUGCGUAGAUAUCUGGAGGAACACCGGUGGCGAAGGCGGCAUCCUGGACCGAGAUUGACGCUGAGGCGCGAAAGCCAGGGGAGCAAACGGG
rnacentral:rRNA from 1 species